rnacentral:lncRNA from 1 species
AUAGAAAUUCCGAAUAUACCUAAGUUUCAUUUCAUCUUAACUUCUUCUCGAAACUCAGCGACCAGACUUCCAAAUCUUCAUUAGUUUUCUUUUUGUAUACCACAUUUUGUUAACGUAGAUGCUCUUAAAGUUGAUCAUGUGCACUGCACAUUAAGAAAUUGACAAAAGAUUGUGGCGAAAUGGAAUUGACCGUUUGGAGAUAUUGGCACGAAUUGAAAUUUAGAGAGCUCAAAACCAAAUUAAAAGUUUGGGGAGUAAAUUAAAACA